AUUGAACGCUGGCGGAAUGCUUUACACAUGCAAGUCGAACGGCAGCACGGACUUCGGUCUGGUGGCGAGUGGCGAACGGGUGAGUAAUGUAUCGUAACGUGCCCUGUCGUGGGGGAUAACGUAGCGAAAGUUACGCUAAUACCUCAUACGCACUGAGGUGGAAAGCAGGGGAUCGCAAGACCUCGCGCUAUACGAGGGGCGGAUGUCAGAUUAGCUAGUUGGUAGGGGAAAGGCCUACCAAGGCGACGAUCUGUACCGGGUCUGAGAGGAUGAUCCGUUACACUGGGACUGAGACACGGCCCAGACUCCUACGGGGGGCAGCAGUGGGGAAUUUUGGACAAUGGGGGAAACCCUGAUCCAGCCAUGCCGCGUGAGUGAAGAAGGCCCUCGGGUUGUAAAGCUCUUUCGGCUGGGAAGAAAUCGCACAGGCUAAUACUCUGUGUGGAUGACGGUACCAGCAUAAGAAGCACCGGCUAACUACGUGCCAGCAGCCGCGGUAA
rnacentral:rRNA from 1 species